UACGUAGGGGGGCAAGCGUUGUCCGGAAUCAUUGGGCGUAAAGCGCGUGUAGGCGGCCCGAUAAGUCCGCUGUGAAAGUCCAGGGCUCAACCCUGGGAUGCCGGUCGAUACUGCCCGGACUAGAGUUCGGAAGAGGCGAGUGGAAUUCCCGGUGUAGCGGUGAAAUGCGCAGAUAUCGGGAGGAACACCUAUGGCGAAGGCAGCUCGCUGGGACGUUACUGACGCUGAGACGCGAAAGCGUGGGGAGCAAACAGG
rnacentral:rRNA from 1 species